rnacentral:rRNA from 1 species
UACGUAGGGUGCAAGCGUUGUCCGGAAUUAUUGGGCGUAAAGAGCUCGUAGGCGGUUUGUCGCGUCUGCUGUGAAAACUCGGGGCUUAACUCCGGGCCUGCAGUGGGUACGGGCAGACUAGAGUGCGGUAGGGGAGACUGGAAUUCCUGGUGUAGCGGUGAAAUGCGCAGAUAUCAGGAGGAAUACCGAUGGCGAAGGCAGGUCUCUGGGCCGCAACUGACGCUGAGGAGCGAAAGCAUGGGGAGCGAACAGG